AUGGUACUCCCUCCGUCCGGAAAUACUUGCCGCAAAAAUGAAUAAAAAUGGAUGUAUCUAGACCUAACAUAUGUCUAGAUACAUCCAUUUCUCCGACAAGUAUUUUCGGACGGAGGAAGUAUUUA
rfam:Triticum aestivum genome assembly, contig: Triticum_aestivum_CS42_TGACv1_scaffold_129557_2BL